GCUGGUUUCUCUCUGAUGUUGUAAAGCAGCUCCUUGGAACAGCAGCAGCACGUCUUUGUUCCAGCUGUGGAAAUGACAGCCGGCCAGCUGGUGAUUACCGGCAGAGGAUCAGGAUAGUUUUUGGACUUUUCCUCAUAAAGUGAGCUGUGGUUCAGGUGACCCGGUCACCCCUCAUUAAACAGAACAAGGUGUGUUCGUGUUGAACUGACUGAGCUGACUCCACAGCACAGAGAGAGGUGCUGAAUGAAGGCAAAGUGGAGAGUGGGCUCUUACUGUUCCAGCUGCUUGUGAUGGUCUAAUGAUGUGAGUUUAGUUCAAGUAUCUCUGACUGGAGAGGAAACACAUGUGAGGUACCAGGAAGUGAGACACAUCCACCAGACCACCGCAGACCUUUACCAUCAAACACUCAAUGCAGACUCCAGCAUCAGGAGUGGUGAAAGACUCACCUGGCCCUGUUUCACCACUGCGGCCACACAAGCAGAGCUGAGGAUCUCAGAGACGCUGCAUGUGCUUGAAGCUCUGCAAGGGUUUUAUACUUACACCCGAUUAGACUCUUUUAGGUGAUGAAAGCCAGACGACUAAUCAAUACAAGGUCUCUGAUAAAGACUUUAAUCUUCCCCUUGCGCCCUCGCGAGUAUUUUACAGAAUCAGCUGCACCGAACGUCACAAAGCUUUGUUCUGUGAAAGAAAGGCGAACAUGAAGCUGCACUUUAAACUCAAGGCUCACUCGUGAUUGGCUCUCCUGUGACGCUCACAAACAUUUAAAUUCUACUGAAAAACUCAGUGAGAGGAAAUACCUGAUGUGUCCUCAGAGAAAAAAACAAGAUAAACAUCUGGAGAGGAGGCAAAGCUCCUAACAUCUGUCUGCACUCACACUGAGGAGGAAGGAGGGAAGCAGUUCAGUUCCGCUCAGCAAGAAGUCGACUUGAUCCAAAGAUGAGUGAAAAUUAAGUCCAAACUGGACAUGAAGCUGUUUGCUGGUUCAUAAACAUCCAGCCUCUUCAGGGGCUCCUCUCUCCUGGGUGGCCAGCAUUAAAGCUCGGACAUCAUGGCACAUGUUCAUGUAACUUAAGGAUGUCAUGACGUUCAUGUAACAUCUUAAAAAUGGCAUUACAUGAAGAUCUGGGAUCAGAGGGUAAAACAAGCUCAAGUUCAGAUUUUUCAGCUUUGAUUUUUGAACAAAAUCCUGUUUGUUCAGAUUUCAGGUAAAGAGUUUUUGUUGGUGGGGUGUGUUCAUAUUUUCACAGCAGUGUUAAGGUUAAAAUGGAUGUCCAGUGGGACUGUGUUUGUUUUGGGGUUAAAUACAUGAAUGACUGUCAAAUUAACUAAGAAAAUUUUGUUUUUUUCUCACUUUCAAUAAUAUUAAGUCACCACAUAUGUAAAGUGAGGAUCAGACUACAUUGUAGUAUCCUUAUAAUAUGACUGAGCCUCUCUCUGUUACCAGGAGCAGGCAGAGAGCACAGGCAGCAGAUGAAACCUUCAUCUGAACUGU